rnacentral:rRNA from 1 species
AGAGUUUGAUCCUGGCUCAGGAUGAACGCUAGCGGCAGGCCUAACACAUGCAAGUCGAACGGUAACAUAGAGAAGCUUGCUUCUUUGAUGACGAGUGGCGCACGGGUGCGUAACGCGUAUACAAUCUACCUUUUACAGGGGGAUAGCCUUUAGAAAUGAAGAUUAAUACCCCAUAGUAUGUAGAUAUCGCAUGGUAAUUACAUUAAAGAUUUAUCGGUAAGAGAUGAGUAUGCGUCCUAUUAGCUAGAUGGUGUGGUAACGGCACACCAUGGCAACGAUAGGUAGGGGCCCUGAGAGGGGGAUCCCCCACACUGGUACUGAGACACGGACCAGACUCCUACGGGAGGCAGCAGUGAGGAAUAUUGGACAAUGGGCGAAAGCCUGAUCCAGCCAUGCCGCGUGCAGGAAGACGGCCCUAUGGGUUGUAAACUGCUUUAAUACGGGAAGAAACCCACCUACGUGUAGGUGGCUGACGGUACCGUAAGAAUAAGCAUCGGCUAACUCCGUGCCAGCAGCCGCGGUAAUACGGAGGAUGCAAGCGUUAUCCGGAAUCAUUGGGUUUAAAGGGUCCGUAGGUGGACAAUUAAGUCAGAGGUGAAAUCCUGCAGCUCAACUGUAGAAUUGCCUUUGAUACUGGUUGUCAUGAAUUAUUGUGAAGUGGUUAGAAUAUGUAGUGUAGCGGUGAAAUGCAUAGAUAUUACAUAGAAUACCAAUUGCGAAGGCAGAUCACUAACAGUAUAUUGACGCCGAGGGACGAAAGCGUGGGGAGCGAACGGGAUUAGAUACCCUGGUAGUCCACGCCGUAAACGAUGGAUACUAGCUGUUCGAUCUUCGGAUUGAGUGGCUAAGCGAAAGUGAUAAGUAUCCCACCUGGGGAGUACGUUCGCAAGAAUGAAACUCAAAGGAAUUGACGGGGGCCCGCACAAGCGGUGGAGCAUGUGGUUUAAUUCGAUGAUACGCGAGGAACCUUACCAGGGCUUAAAUGUAGAUUGCAUUAGCUAGAGAUAGCUAUUUCUUCGGACUAUCUACAAGGUGCUGCAUGGUUGUCGUCAGCUCGUGCCGUGAGGUGUCAGGUUAAGUCCUAUAACGAGCGCAUCCCCUGUCGUUAGUUGCCAGCAAGUAAAGUUGGGGACUCUAACGAGACUGCCGGUGCAAACCGCGAGGAAGGUGGGGAUGACGUCAAAUCAUCACGGCCCUUACGUCCUUUGCUACACACGUUCUACAAUUGGAUAGACAAUGAGCAGCCACUGCGCAAGCAGGAGCUAAUCUAUAAACUAUAUCUCAGUUCGGAUCGGAGUCUGCAACUCGACUCCGUGAAGCUGGAAUCGCUAGUAAUCGGAUAUCAGCCAUGAUCCGGUGAAUACGUUCCCGGGCCUUGUACACACCGCCCGUCAAGCCAUGGAAGCUGAGGGUACCUGAAGUCGGUCACCGCAAGGAGCCGCCUAGGGUAAAAUUGGUAACUAGGGCUAAGUCGGAACAAGGUAGCC